GACGAACCGUCCUAACGUUGUUCGGAAUCACUGGGCGUAAAGCGCACGUAGGCGGAUUGCUAAGUCAGGGGUGAAAUCCUGGAGCUCAACUCCAGAACUGCCUUCGAUACUGGCGACCUUGAGUCCGGGAGAGGUGAGCGGAACUGCGAGUGUAGAGGUGAAAUUCGUAGAUAUUCGCAAGAACACCAGUGGCGAAGGCGGCUCACUGGCCCGGUACUGACGCUGAGGUGCGAAAGCGUGGGGAGCAAACAGG
rnacentral:rRNA from 1 species